rnacentral:rRNA from 1 species
AGUGAACGCUGGCGGUAGGCCUAACACAUGCAAGUCGAACGGCAGCACAGUAAGAGCUUGCUCUUACGGGUGGCGAGUGGCGGACGGGUGAGGAAUACAUCGGAAUCUACUUUUUCGUGGGGGAUAACGUAGGGAAACUUACGCUAAUACCGCAUACGACCUACGGGUGAAAGCAGGGGAUCUUCGGACCUUGCGCGAUUGAAUGAGCCGAUGUCGGAUUAGCUAGUUGGCGGGGUAAAGGCCCACCAAGGCGACGAUCCGUAGCUGGUCUGAGAGGAUGAUCAGCCGCACUGGAACUGAGACACGGUCCAGACUCCUACGGGAGGCAGCAGUGGGGAAUAUUGGACAAUGGGCGCAAGCCUGAUCCAGCUAUACCGCGUGGGUGAAGAAGGCCUUCGGGUUGUAAAGCCCUUUUGUUGGGAAAGAAAAGCAGCAGGUUAAUACCCCGCUGUUCUGACGGUACCCAAAGAAUAAGCACCGGCUAACUUCGUG